AGUGGCGGACGGGUGAGUAACGCGUGAUAAUCUGCCUUGGGGUCGGGGACAACCACUGGAAACGGUGGCUAAUACCGGAUACGCCUUCGGGUAAAAGAUUUAUUGCCCUAAGAGGAGCUCGCGUCUGAUUAGCUAGUUGGUGAGGUAAGAGCUCACCAAGGCAGCGAUCAGUAGCUGGUCUGAGAGGACGAUCAGCCACACUGGGACUGAGACACGGCCCAGACUCCUACGGGAGGCAGCAGUGGGGAAUUUUCCGCAAUGGGCGAAAGCCUGACGGAGCAAGACCGCGUGAGGGAGGAAGGCUCUUGGGUUGUAAACCUCUUUUCUCAGGGAAGAAGCUCUGACGGUACCUGAGGAAUCAGCCUCGGCUAACUCCGUGCCAGCAGCCGCGGUAAUACGGAGGAGGCAAGCGUUAUCCGGAAUUAUUGGGCGUAAAGCGUCCGCAGGUGGCGAUUCAAGUCUGCUGUCAAAGCACGGGGCUUAACUCCGUAAAGGCAGUGGAAACUGAAUAGCUAGAGUGCCGUAGGGGUAGAGGGAAUUCCCGGUGUAGCGGUGAAAUGCGUAGAGAUCGGGAAGAACAUCGGUGGCGAAAGCGCUCUACUGGACGGCAACUGACACUCAGGGACGAAAGCUAGGGGAGCGAAUGGGAUUAGAUACCCC
rnacentral:rRNA from 1 species